CGGAGGGAUCAUUACCGAGUUUACAACUCCCAAACCCCUGUGAACAUACCUUAAUGUUGCCUCGGCGGAUCAGCCCGCGCCCCGUAAAACGGGACGGCCCGCCAGAGGACCCAAACUCUAAUGUUUCUUAUUGUAACUUCUGAGUAAAACAAACAAAUAAAUCAAAACUUUCAACAACGGAUCUCUUGGUUCUGGCAUCGAUGAAGAACGCAGCAAAAUGCGAUAAGUAAUGUGAAUUGCAGAAUUCAGUGAAUCAUCGAAUCUUUGAACGCACAUUGCGCCCGCUGGUAUUCCGGCGGGCAUGCCUGUUCGAGCGUCAUUUCAACCCUCAAGCCCUCGGGUUUGGUGUUGGGGAUCGGCUCUGCCUUCUGGCGGUGCCGCCCCCGAAAUACAUUGGCGGUCUCGCUGCAGCCUCCAUUGCGUAGUAGCUAACACCUCGCAACUGGAACGCGGCGCGGCCAUGCCGUAAAACCCCAACUUCUGAAUGUUGACCUCGGAUCAGGUAGGAAUACCCGCUGAACUUAAGCAUAUC
rnacentral:rRNA from 1 species